CUUUGCAGGAAAAGGCCCCCUUUGUUGCCAAGGCCAACAAGCUCAAGGGCGAGUACAACAAGGCCAUUGCUGCCUACAACAAGGGCGAGGUACCGACAUGCAGACCCCAGCUGUUUAACCUUGCUGUUGUUUCUGUUCUACGUUCUAUAGUGCUCAUCUUUGGACCGUGAUUUGUUUGUUUAGAGCACUGCUGCUGCCCCAAAGAAGGCCGCUGCCAAGGAGGUAGAGGAGGAAGAUGAGGAGGAAUCCGACAAGUCCAAGUCGGAGAUCAAUGACGACGAUGACGAUGAGGGUAGCGAUGAGGUAUAACACACCGCAUCCUGUGUACUGUAUACUGUCUCUUGUAUCCAACUUGCCAGGCAUGCUUAUUGAUAACUAGAAUGCUGCAUUAUUCCUUAGCUGUAGAUUGUAUGUUUAGAUCGUAAUGAGGUGUGGCUGGACUGGUUUCUGUUGAGCUCUAUCAUGUAGAGGUGGUCAAAAAAUUGGAUCGAUAAAAAGAAGUAUAAUAGUAUUAGUUAGGAAGGUCUUGAAUCUCAGGCAUAACAAGCACCUGUUAAGAACUGUUGUAGUAUAUGUUCUGAACAUGAGCAUAAUAAGCUUAUGCUGCUGCUCGUUGCAGGACGAGGAUGACGACGAGUAAAGAAGAAGCAUCUUUGCUCCGGCGGACAAGGCGGGAGCUGCUGCGCGAGGCCCCUGAGCUGU
rnacentral:lncRNA from 1 species